AUUUAAAUAGUUUAAUAAAAAUGUUGAUUUGUGGAAUCAAAGAUGUGAAUUUUAUUCAUUUUAAAUA
rnacentral:tRNA from 1 species